rnacentral:rRNA from 1 species
UACAGAGGUCUCAAGCGUUGUUCGGAUUCAUUGGGCGUAAAGGGUGCGUAGGUGGCGCCGUAAGUCGGGGUGUGAAAUUUCGGAGCUUAACUCCGAAACUGCAUUCGAUACUGCGGUGCUUUGAGGACUGGAGAGGAGACUGGAAUUCAUGGUGUAGCAGUGAAAUGCGUAGAGAUCAUGAGGAAGACCAGUGGCGAAGGCGGGUCUCUGGACAGUUCCUGACACUGAGGCACGAAGGCCAGGGGAGCAAACGGG